rnacentral:tRNA from 3 species
GCGGCCGUAGUCCAGCCUGGUCUAAGACGUCGGCCUGCCACGCCGGUGACCCGGGUUCGAAUCCCGGCGGCCGCACCA